rnacentral:rRNA from 1 species
UCGAGGAUCUUCGGCAAUGGGCGCAAGCCUGACCGAGCGACGCCGCGUGUGCGAUGAAGGCCUUCGGGUUGUAAAGCACUGUCGAGGGGGAGAAAGGCCCGCAAGGGUUUGAUCGACCCCUGGAGGAAGCACGGGCUAAGUUCGUGCCAGCAGCCGCGGUAAGACGAACCGUGCGAACGUUGUUCGGAAUCACUGGGCUUAAAGGGCGCGUAGGCGGGCGGGCAAGUCGAAGGUGAAAUCCCACAGCUUAACUGUGGAAGCGCCCCCGAUACUGCUCGUCUGGAGGGAGAUAGGGGCGUGCGGAACUUCCGGUGGAGCGGUGAAAUGCGUAGAUAUCGGAAGGAACACCGGUGGCGAAAGCGGCGCGCUGGAUCUCUUCUGACGCUGAGGUGCGAAAGCCAGGGGAGCAAACGG